rnacentral:rRNA from 1 species
UACGGAGGGUGCAAGCGUUAUCCGGAAUCACUGGGUUUAAAGGGUGCGUAGGCGGCCUAAUAAGUCAGAGGUGAAAGGCCACAGCUUAACUGUGGAAUUGCCUUUGAUACUGUUAGGCUUGAAUAAGGAUGAGGUUGGCGGAAUGUGGCAUGUAGCGGUGAAAUGCAUAGAUAUGCCAUAGAACACCAAUUGCGAAGGCAGCUAACUGGGCCUUUAUUGACGCUGAGGCACGAAAGCGUGGGGAUCAAACAGG